UUGCCAUGUUUGGGGCCACAUUUCUUUGUAUUUUUGAUCCUUUUUUAAAUAUGUAAAACAAUUUAUUUUAUUUGGAUGAAUUUGUCUGUCUUUUAUCAGAUUCACCAACUGUUAUAACAUCUCUAGUACUUUCCUUUCAGGAAGCCAAAGCUAAGUUAAAGCUUCUGGUUGCAAAGCAGUUUUUUUGACUGCAUCAGUAAUACUUUAGCGCGAAUUUGGCUAUAUUCCCCAACAUCAGCUCUCACUAUCUUUUCACAGGCAAGUGAUUUCGUAGAGGAAUCUUAAAAUCGAAAAAAUAAAUGAAGGGGUUACCUACAGCAUUCAUCGGAUCUUUCUCUUCCAAUUUACACUCCAUGUGUGCGCGCAUCCAUGUUGCUUAGUAACGAACCCGCUUGCGGCAGAAUCGCGUAAUUUAAACAGAAACAACAACAUCCUAAUUUCUGAUUGGCUGGUAGGUGGCAUUUAACUCUAUAACUACAGAGUCGAGAGAGCUAUGAACUCGGCAGAAAACCUACCUCAGUAUUCCCUCAUCUAUUAAUGGUAUAUUAAUUGUAUAGUAAUUGUAGCGGGACAAGUUAUCCCUUCUCAGCGUGAGAAAUACAAGGUGUGGCGUGAGAGCGUGUGAACUGGUUGAAAUGCGUGAGUCUCACUCCGAUUGCGUGAGACUUGAGAGCCCUGGUUUUCAGAGGCUCCAAACACUGCAGCUGACUUUGGAUUCACCUGAGACAGCCUUGGAGGAGAAAUGGUCAGCCAAUGCUGCCAUUCUUCUGGGAAACUGCUCUUCAAAGAACAGUCAUCAAUCAGGAUCUUCUGUUCCCAGAUCCAACCAUUCAUCUGAAGGACUGUGAAAAUGUGACAGAACCACCAGUGACAGUUUCCACAAAAUAAAUAAAAGACAUGGCAGAGGAUGAUAGGGGUAUUGAUAUUUCACUGAAAUUACCCUGCUGUACUCACUGUUUCACACAUGCAUACGAUUGUGGUCAAAGGUUUACAUCACAUUGCAGAAUAUGCAUAAUGUUAUUUAACAAAAUAAGUUUUUAUUUAUUAUUAUUUAGGACUGGCCUGAUGAAGCUAUUUCAUUUAACAAAUGUUUACGUUUGGUCUGCAAGUCAGAAUAAUAGCUGAUUUAAAAAAAAAGGAAUCGUGGUUCAUGUUUGUUUUGUGAUAGUGUUUCACGAGUCCUUUGUUUCUCCUGAGCAGCUCAACUGCCUGCUUUUCUUCAGAAAACUCCUCAAGGUCCUGCACAUUCUCAGGUUUUCCAGCAUCUUUUGCAGAUUUGAACCCUUUACAGCAGUGACUGAUUUCAGAUCCAUCUUUUCACACUGAGGACAAUCGAGGGACUCAUACAUAACUAUUACAAAAGGUAAACACGUAUACUGAUGCUCAAGAAAGCAACACGAUGCAUUAAGAGACGCAGGGUGUAAGGUAUUUGAAUUGGGUGAUCGGUAAACUACUUAUUUUGUCUGAAAAGUAUAAAAAAAUAAGUAUUUUAUGUAGCUUCUGAAGGGCAGUACUAAAAGAACAAAUAUGAUUUACUCAUUAUCAUCCUGUUCAAAAGUUUACACCCUAAUGUAUUGUUUCCUUCUGGAGCAUCAGUGAAUGUUUUCACCUUUUAUAAUAGUUGUGUAUGAGUCCUUCAGUUUUCCUCAGAGUGAAAAGAUGGAUCUCAAAAUCAAAAGUCAUUAUUGGACAGGGGCCAAAUAGGCAGAAGAUGCUGGAAAACCAAUGGGACUCAUGAAAAACUAUCACAAAACAUAAAAACAGCUGUGGGUCAUCCAGGUAAUGACACAGUAUUAAGAGUCAAGUGUAAACUUUUGCAACAUUUUUUAAAUUAUACAUUUUUAUUUUUAUAAAUUGUUUAAUUUUGAUCAAUUCCGUAUAUGUAAAUAUCUAACAUUGCUUAUUCAGGACAGUACUAAAUGAAAUAAGCAUGGAAUGUUUAAGAUCUCUCAUUUUGUUAUUUUAUUCUUAUUUUGAUGGUGCCAUUAGAGUUGUAGAAUGUGUGUGUGUGUGUGUGUGUGUGUGUGUGUGUGUGUGUGUGAGUGACUGUCUGAGAUGGAGCGGUAAUCACUGCCCUGACUUUGCAGUGUCCAUUGCAAGUGUAUUCAUUAUUGUGUUUGUUAUUGAUUAGUAUAAUUUUUUUAUUGAUUUAAAAAAAAUAUAUAUAUUUUGUUUAAUCAGUGUAAUGAUUCACUUGAAGUGUCUGUGUUUGCAAAAUCUUUUUCUCAAUCUAAAUGAUUAGUUAAAUGCUGCAGUCCUGUUGUGUUUGUUGAAUAAUAAAAUUGAGAUUUA